ACGAACGCUGGCGGCGUGCUUAACACAUGCAAGUCGAGCGGUAAGGCUCCUUCGGGAGUACACGAGCGGCGAACGGGUGAGUAACACGUGAGUAAUCUGCCCUUCACUUCGGGAUAACCACCGGAAACGGUGGCUAAUACCGAAUACGACCGGUCCUCGCAUGAGAUGCCGGUGGAAAGUUUUUUCGGUGAAGGAUGUGCUCGCGGCCUAUCAGCUUGUUGGUGGGGUAAUGGCCUACCAAGGCUUCGACGGGUAGCCGGCCUGAGAGGGUGACCGGCCACACUGGGACUGAGACACGGCCCAGACUCCUACGGGAGGCAGCAGUGGGGAAUAUUGGACAAUGGGCGAAAGCCUGAUCCAGCAACGCCGCGUGAGGGAUGACGGCCUUCGGGUUGUAAACCUCUUUCAGUACCGACGAAGCGCCCUGUCGGGUGGUGACGGUAGGUACAGAAGAAGGACCGGCCAACUACGU
rnacentral:rRNA from 1 species